AGAGAGAGGAAGGGAAGCAGGCUCCCUGCUGAGCAGAGAGCCCAAUGCAGGGCUCGAGCCCAGGACCCUGGGACCAUGACCAGAGCCGAAGGCAGAGGCUUAACCCACUGAGCCACCCAGGCGCCCCUGAAGACUCCAUUUUAAACCUAUUUACUUAUUUGAGAGGAAGAGUGAGCACAAGUCAGGGGAGGAGCAGAGGGAAAGAGUCUUCAAGCAGACUCCCUGUUGAGCGUGGAGCCUGACCCAAGUCUUGAUUUCAAGGCGCAAGAGAUCAUGACCUGAGCUGAAACCAAGAGUUGGACACUUAAGCAACUGAGCCACCAGGUAUGGCUGUAAGCGAAGUCACACAGCGGCCCCACAUUGCCAGAUGAGGAUCGUACGGCUCAUCUCCAACCAGCUUUUCCAGGACUCAACACCCAGGCAGAACUGACGUUCUAAAGAGCAGCCACCUAGAAAGGCGAUACGCCACCCUGUCCACGGGCACCACCACUGCCGUAUCAGUGGUGUACAUCUGAGGAAUCAGGAGGAGCACGAGAAGUCCUUGAUUUCUGGAAAACUCUUUCCAAGUGACCCCACGAGAGAGCUCUCUUUCGCGACAGAAGUGGGGAUGCUGUCUGUGCAUGCCGUCACCACGCUUGGGUAAUGACUGUGUGUCAUAAAUAUGGCAUUUCUGAAUGUCUUUAAAGCAAUUUUCCUUUUGUUCCACUAAUUUAAUUUACCAAAUGCUCCUGGGAAAAGGAAGGGGGACCAAGAUGCUGACUCCACGUUUCCUGGAAAACCCACAUUUUCUUUUUAAACUGCUCUCCAAGAAAUUCCAUCUGACCGUUGUCUGCUGGCUGCCUCAGACUCUCCCUCUGUCAAAAAUUCUGACCCGGCAGGUGUGAGAGAGAGGAGAUGCGGAACUUGAGCGAAUACCCACAUCUGUUUUUGGAAAAAAGGAACAGAAGCAGCACAGAAGGAAGUAAAAGAGAUAAUUGCUGGCUUGAACUACAAUACAUUUUACUUGUGGGCAGAGGGCCAACUUGCAGCAGGCAGAAUAGGCAGGCCCGUCUUAUUGGAAUUCAGGGGUGGGCCUCCGUUCUUGUCCGGAGACAGCUGUAAACCAGCAGCCCAUGGCAUCGCAAUCAGGCACCGAGUUUUGUCAAGGAAUGCUGAUACGUACAGAACCAGCUUUGUCUGCUUCAACUGCACCCCUGCCUAGUGAAAUGACAGUCAAUCUCUGAUUCCAGAUGACAAGAACGGGAGGAAAACUUAAAACAAAUGGCGACCUUUCAAAAGAUUAAUUUGUUUACCAACAAAAUGUUCCCUCUUUGUCAUCCGAGAUGGGGGUGACCUUCACUUUCCCAUAUCUGGGCUGAAAGGAUGCUGACUAUAGUCAUCUGUUAACUCCAUCUCAGCAAUUAUUCCCUUUUUUAUUUUUAGUGACAAGAAGGGUUUAUUAAUUCACUCUGCUUCUUGUUAUGGUUUAUAAAUGCAACAAGCUCAUUCUGAAUUACUGCAGUGUAACAUCAAUUUGUUUAAAUCUAAUUCUGCUCCCAUCGCCAAAUUACGUUGUGACUGUAAUUGUGGCCAUAUGCAUGGGGCUUAAAACACAAUCAUGUUUUGAGA